rnacentral:misc_RNA from 1 species
AGAUCAAACCAAAGCCCAACCGACCCGGAUGAUCUUUGCUUUGAUGCUCAUUUAUGUAUGUUUGAAGCUACUUUCCUUCAACUCUUCUCUGUCUCUUCAUGGAAUGCGCAACUAAACUUGGUGUUGAAGAAAUUUUGUUUUUCUUAAAUAGUGUCUUUACUUGUAAGGAGAGAAAUGAAAACUUGAUUUUAAAAUUUUAUGUAUAAAUUGAGAAUUAUGUAUUUG